rnacentral:lncRNA from 1 species
GUGUGCCUCUGUACAGCCCUGCCUGCCUCUGGGCUUCUUGGAAAGUGACAUAAUAAGGGUCUGUAUUAUUCUAGCCACCCUCCAUUUGAUAAACCAUUACUUGUAGCUGGAAGUGUCCUAACUGCACAGGGUAUCCAGACUAAUAUGACCAUGUCUGCCACUAACCCUUUAAAAUCCAUUCUAUGUAGGUAGCAAAAUUCUCUUUCUGCAAUAAAGACCUCAGGGAUGUCACUUCCCUUCUCCAGAGUUGGCGGCAGCUCCUGAUGGUCUAUUUGUUUGCGUCCCAGCUUCUCAGCAGGUCUGGCGUGAAUGGAGAACCUCUCAGCUGGAGUCUGCAGUGAAUGAAGUCACAACAUGAGGUGUGGAGCCAAAGCUGCCAUCUUGAAAAAACGAUGAAAAGCUGAAGAGAAUGGAAAAGAAGUAGUCGUGACUUCACUGAGCUGCUGGACUAUCCCAGCACUUCCUGCUUCCAGCUGUAUAAUUCCUUGCGAACUGCCCGGCGCGUCCUGCCUUGCCAGACCCUCUGCCCCGGGUCAUCCGCAGCCCGCGGGCGCCAUCGGCUCCAGGCACACAUCACCGGUGCUGGAACCCCGGCGCGUGGAGACCAGAGGCCAAGGAAACGAAACUCCCCACGCUGCGCCAUCGAGAAUAAUCACUGCCUUUUCAGAGGCCGACUUCGCCCCCUGCCAAGGCAAGAACUGUCUCGCCACCUUUCAGUUCUUGUUAAAAAGCAGAAGGCAUGUCAGGGCCAGGCUGG